rnacentral:tRNA from 1 species
AUGUAGCCAAGUGGAUCAAGGGAGUGGAUUGUGAAUCCACCAUGCGCGAAA